AAAACAAGACCAUCCAGGUGGCAAACUGCCAGGUGCGCGCGCGCGCGCGCAAGGUCUUAACCGUUUGGUUUCCGACGAAAUUUCGGGCUACUUCUUGGCACGCGUGGGCGGCGUGUCAUCUCGUUUUCUUCCGCCACGGCCUAACCGGCGGCGAUCCCAGCACAGAUUUUCGCCGCAGCUGCGUCUGCCGCGGAGUCGUCUCCCCGGCCGGCCGAUGGGGCCAGCAGAUAAAAAGGACGCCGGCCUCCGGAGUCAAAUCCAAGCCGAUCGCGAGCGUCGUCGGCCUCACCUUCUUACGUAACUUCUCCUCUCGUGUCUUGUCACAUCACAUCAGAUCCUCCUCCGAUCGUGUCCUCGAUCGGGCCUUCGUCCACUACAACUGUACAAGCCAAGCAACCAGGCAGAUGCUCAAGUCUCAAAGCUGAGGUCUUUCACCUCAUUUACACGGCCCGACAGGGUCGCAGCUCGCGCUGUUGGAGUUACAGCUUCUUGUACUGCUUCAACGAUGAUGUAAAGACGAGAAGCUUUCGUGAGCUGUUCAGGAAAGCAAAGGGGCUUGUUUUUUCCUGCGAAUUUACUGCGGCCGAUGGAAUUUUGCUUUCCAUUAUUCCAUGGACCAUGGCAGCCUAGCGUUGGCAUCAUGCACAUCUUGGAUCGAUCGUUCUUGCAAAUUGCAAUGCAGGGUAGUCAACAAGGGUGACGGAAGCCUGGUGCAGGACAUGCAUGUACGGCGUAGCUUCCGUCCACUCACUACGCCAGAAAGCAUUUAUGGUGGCUAGAAAAGAUUUGUACUUACGGGUAUCGCACCUGCUAGGAACCUUGAGCCGGCACAUACUGCUUUCUGCUGGCGAGCGAUGUUAGCCACCUGCCAGCACAGAUGCUUUCUGUGCUAGCGGUGUGCCAGCACAGAUAGUUUCUGUACUGGCGGGUGCUUAUGCCGUCCAUCAGGAAUAUGUAUUUUCCUAUUUGAU
rnacentral:lncRNA from 1 species